rnacentral:rRNA from 1 species
UACGUAGGGGGCAAGCGUUGUCCGGAAUCAUUGGGCGUAAAGAGCGUGUAGGCGGCUUGGUAAGUCCGCUGUGAAAGUCCAGGGCUCAACCCUGGAAAGCCGGUGGAAACUGUCAAGCUUGAGUCCGGAAGAGGCGGGUGGAAUUCCUGGUGUAGCGGUGGAAUGCGUAGAGAUCCGGAAGAACACCAGUGGCGAAGGCGGCCCGCUGGGCAGUGGCUGACGCUGAGGCGCGACAGCGUGGGGAGCAAACAGG